GAUGAACGCUGGCGGCGUGCCUAACACAUGCAAGUCGAGCGAUCUUCUUCGGAAGAGAGCGGCGGACGGGUGAGUAACGCGUGGGUAACCUGCCCUGUACACACGGAUAACAUACCGAAAGGUAUGCUAAUACGGGAUAACAUAAGAAAGUCGCAUGGCUUUCUUAUCAAAGCUUUUGCGGUACAGGAUGGACCCGCGUCUGAUUAGCUAGUUGGUAAGGUAACGGCUUACCAAGGCGACGAUCAGUAGCCGACCUGAGAGGGUGAUCGGCCACAUUGGAACUGAGCCACGGUCCAAACUCCUACGGGAGGCAGCAGUGGGGAAUAUUGCACAAUGGGCAAAAGCCUGAUGCAGCAACGCCGCGUGAGCGAUGAAGGCCUUCGGGUCGUAAAGCUCUGUCCUCAAGGAAGAUAAUGACGGUACUUGAGGAGGAAGCCCCGGCUAACUACGUGCCAGCAGCCGCGGUAAUACGUAGGGGGCUAGCGUUAUCCGGAAUUACUGGGCGUAAAGGGUGCGUAGGCGGUCUUUCAAGUCAGAAGUGAAAGGCUACGGCUCAACCGUAGUAAGCUUUUGAAACUGUAAGACUUGAGUGCAGGAGAGGAGAGUGGAAUUCCUAGUGUAGCGGUGAAAUGCGUAGAUAUUAGGAGGAACACCAGUUGCGAAGGCGGCUCUCUGGACUGUAACUGACGCUGAGGCACGAAAGCGUGGGGAGC
rnacentral:rRNA from 1 species